UGCGUAGGUGGUUUCUUAAGUCAGAGGUGAAAGGCUACGGCUCAACCGUAGUAAGCCUUUGAGACUGGGAAACUUGAGUGCAGGAGAGGAGAGUGGAAUUCCUAGUGUAGCGGUGAAAUGCGUAGAUAUUAGGAGGAACACCAGUUGCGAAGGCGGCUCUCUGGACUGUAACUGACACUGAGGCACGAAAGCGUGGGGAGCAAACA
rnacentral:rRNA from 1 species